UGCAGUCGACGGAAGUAGCAAUACUUUAGUGGCGGACGGGUGAGUAACGCGUGAGAAUCUGCCAAUCGGUUCGGGACAACCACUGGAAACGGUGGCUAAUACCGGAUGUGCCUUUCGGGGUGAAAGAUUUAUUGCCGAUUGAGGAGCUCGCGUCUGAUUAGCUAGUUGGUGGGGUAAAGGCUUACCAAGGCGACGAUCAGUAACUGGUCUGAGAGGAUGACCAGUCACACUGGGACUGAGACACGGCCCAGACUCCUACGGGAGGCAGCAGUGGGGAAUUUUCCGCAAUGGGCGAAAGCCUGACGGAGCAAGACCGCGUGAGGGACGAAGGCUCUUGGGUCGUAAACCUCUUUUCUCAGGGAAGAACACAAUGACGGUACCUGAGGAAUCAGCAUCGGCUAACUCCGUGCCAGCAGCCGCGGUAAUACGGAGGAUGCAAGCGUUAUCCGGAAUGAUUGGGCGUAAAGCGUCCGUAGGUGGUCUUUCAAGUCUGCCGUUAAAGCUCGGGGCUUAACUCCGAAAAGGCGGUGGAAACUGAAAAACUCGAGAUAGGUAGGGGUAGAGGGAAUUCCCGGUGUAGCGGUGAAAUGCGUAGAGAUCGGGAAGAACAUCGGUGGCGAAAGCGCUCUACUGGACCUGUUCUGACACUGAGGGACGAAAGCUAGGGGAGCGAAUGGGAUUAGAUACCCCAGUAGUCCUAGCCGUAAACGAUGGAUACUAGGUGUUGCCUGUAUCGACCCGGGCAGUGCCGUAGCUAACGCGUUAAGUAUCCCGCCUGGGGAGUACGCACGCAAGUGUGAAACUCAAGG
rnacentral:rRNA from 1 species